AGAAUCUCAUAGUAAACUUGAGGAGGUUAUUGGUCUACUUGAAGCUGGAGCUGAUCCUAAUGUUACUGAGUAUCCAUCUGGUGGCUCUCCUGCACUUAUUAUAGCCAUUGAAAAAGAUAAUAUUGAUAUUGUUAAAUUGUUACUGGAGAAAGGAGCUAAUCCUAAUGUUACUAAGUAUACAUCUGGUGGCUCUCCUGCUCUUAUUAUAGCCAUUGAAAAAGAUAAUACUGAUAUUGUUAAAUUGUUACUGGAAAAAGGAGCUGAUCCCAAUGUUACUAAGGUUUGUAGCUG